UGGGGAAUAUUGCACAAUGGGCGCAAGCCUGAUGCAGCCAUGCCGCGUGUAUGAAGAAGGCCUUCGGGUUGUAAAGUACUUUCAGCGAGGAGGAAGGCGUUGUGGUUAAUAACCGCAACGAUUGACGUUACUCGCAGAAGAAGCACCGGCUAACUCCGUGCCAGCAGCCGCGGAAAUACGGAGGGUGAAAGCGUUAAUCGGAAUUACUGGGCGUAAAGCGCAAGCAGGCGGUCUGUCAAGUCGGAUGUGAAAUCCCCGGGCUCAACCUGGGAACUGCAUCCGAAACUGGCAGGCUAGAGUCUUGUAGAGGGGGGUAGAAUUCCAGGUGUAGCGGUGAAAUGCGUAGAGAUCUGGAGGAAUACCGGUGGCGAAGGCGGCCCCCUGGACAAAGACUGACGCUCAGGUGCGAAAGCGUGGGGAGCAAACA
rnacentral:rRNA from 1 species